AAAGGAAACUGUAGCCACAAACCUGCCCCAGAGCUCAUAGUCCUGCAUUAUUUCAGACUGCAUGAGGCAGAAUGAUCACUAGAGGAAUGGGUCCAUACAUGCUGCAUCGUCUACAAUGCAAUGAAAACAGAGAAGUGCAUUGAAUUCAGUCAGACAGAGACAAUCCAUCAGGGAAUGCCAACUACCAUCAACUGUCUUUACAGCACAAACAGAAGUGACCAUUUAACAGCAUAUUUGAAAAGAAACCAUUUGCUUUGUGAAUACGUCUAUCUCAAUAAAUCCUGGACUAAACGAUUCUGUAAUGACAUCAGAUUUGUAUGGAUUCCAGAAACUAAGGAAAUAUCAUUUCAGCUCUUAAAUAUUCAUAUGAACAAUACAGGCAUUUACAUGUGUACUGUGGUAAACUACUUCCCACCUCCUACAAGCUGUUUGGGAGAGAAGAGGAUAUCCAUUCAUGUAAACGGUUGCCCAGGCCCUGAAGCAGCAAAGCAUCCCCACACCAUCACAUCACACAGUUGGAGAUAAUGGCUAUCACUGUGGUCCUUUGGAGUCUCAGAGCCUUUGAAAUAGCUUUGUAACCCUUCCCAGACUGAUUUCAAUCACCUUCUUCAUCAUUUCUGGAUUUUCUUUCAAUUUUGGCAUAGUGUGUAACACCAACUUCAUGCUGUUAAAAAAGUUCUAUUUAAGUGUUGAUAAAAAAAAACACAGUCAACUGUUAGGGAAAAUAUUUGUGUUUGUUUGAGAUUAUGUGUUGAAAAUGACAGGUUAUGUGUUAUUGUACCCAUCACAGGACUGGGAUAUGCUGCUUCAUGUUGAACCCAGGUUUUAUAUCAUAUAAACAGAAGAGACUUUCAAGGAGACGUGUGACUUACAGUUCUCCAAGUAGUCUGAGAUUCAGAAUUUUCCCUUCAUUUUAAAUCAGAUCUUAAGUAACUAGUAAUUUGCUACUUGAGUAGUCUUCUCAUUUAAUACUUUAUUACUCCUACUCAAGUAAUUAUUAACAUUAUUAAAUUACUGUUACUUGAGUAAUUAUUUUUAGAACUAGUUUUACUUGUAUGUGAGCAAAAUUUUGGCUACUCUACCCACCUCUGUAAAUACCCUUAAAUUAAAGCUGAAAGUCUGCACUUUAAACUCAUAUACAUUAUUUAAUAUCAACUCCAAUAUAUUGUGGUAGACAGCAAAAAUAACCAUAAAAUCGUAAAUGUCCAAUAUUUAUGGACCCGGCUGGACUUUGUGGACUUUUCAUGCUUAUGAAUACUUGAAUGUUCAUAUUUGUAAGUACCAAGUUGAAAGAUAUUAUGUGUGCAAAUUUUGAAGCGAAUAUAUGCACUGGAAGUACAGUGGAUUUAAAAAGUUACACCCGGUUAAAACUGUAGAUUUUUGUGAUAUAAACAAUGAAACCAAAAUAAAUCAGAAUACUUAUUUAUUUGUAAUGUUAGUGUGCAUUCAAGUGAUACACUACCAUGGUGUGGCUUCAAUGUGAUUUUCAUUUUUUGUGAUUUUGAAAAACGAACGUGCAACAGACUUUUUUGGGAAUUCUUGCCCCAUGGCCCUCUUUUAGUGCUUGAUGCACUGAGAUGUGAUAAAUGGGGCAGUGAGCUCGCCGUUCAGUAAUUGCAUAACAUCUAGACAAGCAGAUCAACGGAAAAUUGGUCAAUGUGUGACACAUUAAAAUCACUCAAAGUAGGUCAAUUUUGUGUGAUUUUAAAAUAUAUGGAGUUUAGGAGGAUUUUAUGGAGAUUAAUAUUUGUUGAUAACAGUGCAUCACUGAUGUACAGCUACCUUUUUCUACACAGUUAUUGGCCAUUUUACAAUAAAAGCCACAUUGCACAUAACUCACAUUGUGUAUACAAUCUACAGUGCCCUCCGCUAUCAUUUGCACCCUUGGUAAAUAUGAGCAAAGAAGACUGUGAAAG